UACGUAGGGCGCGAGCGUUAUCCGGAAUUAUUGGGCGUAAAGAGCUCGUAGGCGGUUUGUCAAGUCUGCUGUGAAAGCCCGGGGCUCAACUCCGGGUGUGCAGUGGGUACGGGCAGACUAGAGUGCAGAAGGGGAGACUGGAAUUCCUGGUGUAGCGGUGAAAUGCGCAGAUAUCAGGAGGAACACCGAUGGCGAAGGCAGGUCUCUGUGCUGUUACUGACGUUGAGGAGCGAAAGCAUGGGGAGCAAACAGG
rnacentral:misc_RNA from 1 species